rnacentral:rRNA from 1 species
UACGGAGGGUGCGAGCGUUAAUCGGAAUGACUGGGCGUAAAGGGUGCGUAGGUGGUUUAUUAAGUUGUUGGUGAAAUCUCCGGGCUUAACCUGGGGUUGACGAAUAAAACUGGUAGACUCGAGUAUAGGAGAGGGUAGUGGAAUUUCCGGUGUAGCGGUGAAAUGCGUAGAGAUCGGAAGGAACACCAGUUGCGAAGGCGGCUACCUGGCCUGGUACUGACACUGAGGCACGAAAGCGUGGGGAGCAAACAGG